GGUGGCCUAGUGGCUAGAGCGUCCGCCUCGGAUGCGGGAGGCCAUGGGUUUUAUCCCUGGUAGAGUCA